CNUGGGAACUGCGUUCUGAACUGGGUGACUAGAGUGUGUCAGAGGGAGGUAGAAUUNCACGUGUGGCAGUGAAAUGCGUAGAGAUGUGGAGGAAUACCGAUGGCGAAGGCAGCCUCCUGGGAUAACACUGACGUUCAUGCUCGAAAGCGUGGGUAGCAAACAGGAUUAGAUACCCUGGUAGUCCACGCCCUAAACGAUGUCAAUUAGCUGUUGGGCAACUUGAUUGUUCAGUAGCGUAGCUAACGCGUGAAAUUGACCGCCUGGGGAGUACGGUCGCAAGAUUAAAACUCAAAGGAAUUGACGGGGACCCGCACAAGCGGUGGAUGAUGUGGAUUAAUUCGAUGCAACGCGAAGAACCUUACCUGGUCUUGACAUGUACGGAAUCCUCCAGAGACGGAGGAGUGCCUUCGGGAGCCGUAACACAGGUGCUGCAUGGCUGUCGUCAGCUCGUGUCGUGAGAUGUUGGGUUAAGUCCCGCAACGAGCGCAACCCUUGUCAUUAGUUGCCAUCAUUCAGUUGGGCACUCUAAUGAGACUGCCGGUGACAAGCCGGAGGAAGGUGGGGAUGACGUCAAGUCCUCAUGGCCCUUAUGACCAGGGCUUCACACGUCAUACAAUGGUCGGUACAGAGGGUAGCCAAGCCG
rnacentral:rRNA from 1 species